rnacentral:rRNA from 1 species
CACGUAGGGGACGAGCGUUGUCCGGAUUCAUUGGGCGUAAAGCGCACGUAGGCGGCAUUGCAAGUCGGAUGUGAAAUCUUAUGGCUUAACUAUAAAAGUGCAUCCGAAACUGCAGUGCUUGAGUACUUAAGAGGAUCGCGGAAUUCCCGGUGUAGAGGUGAAAUUCGUAGAUAUCGGGAGGAACACCAGUGGCGAAGGCGGCGAUCUGGGAAGAUACUGACGCUGAGGAGCGAAAGCGUGGGGAGCGAACAGG